CCCUUAGACGUCCUGGGCCGCACGUGUGCUACACUGACUCGCGCAACGAGUAAUACCUAACUCGAAAGAGGCUGGGAAAUCUUGCUAAUACGAGUCGUGCUAGGGAUUGAUCUUUGCAAUUUUGGAUCAUGAACGAGGAAUUCCUAGUAAGCAUAAGUCAUCAUCUUGUGCUGAUUACGUCCCUGCCCUUUGUACACACCGCCCGUCGCUCCUACCGAUUGAGUGGUCCGGUGAACUUUUUGGACGUUUGUCAUGAGCGGAAGUUAAGCAAACCUUAUCACUUAGAGGAAGGAAAAGUCGUAACA
rnacentral:rRNA from 1 species